rnacentral:rRNA from 1 species
UGAGGAAUAUUGGUCAAUGGGCGCAAGCCUGAACCAGCCAUGCCGCGUGCAGGAUGACGGUCCUAUGGAUUGUAAACUGCUUUUGCACAGGAAGAAACACUCGGACGUGUCCGAGCUUGACGGUACUGUGAGAAUAAGGAUCGGCUAACUCCGUGCCAGCAGCCGCGGUAAUACGGAGGAUCCAAGCGUUAUCCGGAAUCAUUGGGUUUAAAGGGUCCGUAGGCGGUUUGAUAAGUCAGUGGUGAAAGCCCUACGCUCAACGUAGGAACGGCCAUUGAUACUGUUAGACUUGAAUUAUUUGGAAGUAACUAGAAUAUGUAGUGUAGCGGUGAAAUGCUUAGAGAUUACAUGGAAUACCAAUUGCGAAGGCAGGUUACUACAAAUGGAUUGACGCUGAUGGACGAAAGCGUGGGUAGCGAACA